CUCUGAUGUUAGCGGCGGACGGGUGAGUAACACGUGGAUAACCUACCUAUAAGACUGGGAUAACUUCGGGAAACCGGAGCUAAUACCGGAUAAUAUUUUGAACCGCAUGGUUCAAAAGUGAAAGACGGUCUUGCUGUCACUUAUAGAUGGAUCCGCGCUGCAUUAGCUAGUUGGUAAGGUAACGGCUUACCAAGGCAACGAUGCAUAGCCGACCUGAGAGGGUGAUCGGCCACACUGGAACUGAGACACGGUCCAGACUCCUACGGGAGGCAGCAGUAGGGAAUCUUCCGCAAUGGGCGAAAGCCUGACGGAGCAACGCCGCGUGAGUGAUGAAGGUCUUCGGAUCGUAAAACUCUGUUAUUAGGGAAGAACAUAUGUGUAAGUAACUGUGCACAUCUUGACGGUACCUAAUCAGAAAGCCACGGCUAACUACGUGCCAGCAGCCGCGGUAAUACGUAGGUGGCAAGCGUUAUCCGGAAUUAUUGGGCGUAAAGCGCGCGUAGGCGGUUUUUUAAGUCUGAUGUGAAAGCCCACGGCUCAACCGUGGAGGGUCAUUGGAAACUGGAAAACUUGAGUGCAGAAGAGGAAAGUGGAAUUCCAUGUGUAGCGGUGAAAUGCGCAGAGAUAUGGAGGAACACCAGUGGCGAAGGCGACUUUCUGGUCUGUAACUGACGCUGAUGUGCGAAAGCGUGGGGAUCAAACAGGAUUAGAUACCCUGGUAGUCCACGCCGUAAACGAUGAGUGCUAAGUGUUAGGGGGUUUCCGCCCCUUAGUGCUGCAGCUAACGCAUUAAGCACUCCGCCUGGGGAGUACGACCGCAAGGUUGAAACUCAAAGGAAUUGACGGGGACCCGCACAAGCGGUGGAGCAUGUGGUUUAAUUCGAAGCAACGCGAAGAACCUUACCAAAU
rnacentral:rRNA from 1 species